rnacentral:lncRNA from 1 species
AGAAUAUCACAAGACACACGCAUUCUCUCUCAGGCCACAAAAUUUCACCACGCUCCGUUCUCACUGUUGGUUCUCCAUUGACUGCGUCUCGUUCCCUCGCUGCGCCUCAGUCUCUCGGCUCUCUCAGAAAUUGACUUGCGGCUUUUCUUUCCCCUCCCCCCUAAAUCCACAGCAGCAAUGGGUCUGUCCACAGCUGCAGUUGUGUCGUCGUCAACAACUGCUGUAAUCGAUUUCUGGAUAUAAUUUGCUUUAUUAAUUGCAAAUUUAGUUGUCUACGGUUAUGAAUUUGUGGAGACUCAGCUGUUGUUCUGUUAAUUUGUGUUGAGAAUAGGGUGCUUUAAUUUUGUUAUUCUUGGUGCUGAGCUUACUGGUCAAGUCAAUUACUUUGAUUUUUUUAUUGUUGAUGCUGAACACUUAGCUUAGUCAAAAUUACCGUAGAUUUAGCUUAGUUUUUUUUUUUUCGGGUAAUUCUUGAUGCUGAGCUUACUGGGCAAGUCAGUUACUUUGAUUUUUUGAUUCUUGAUGUUGAACACUUAGCUUACUAAAAAUUAGAAUACACUUAACUUAGGUUUUUUCUUUUUUCUUUUUAUUCUCGAUGCUGAGCUUCAGAUUACUGGAAAUUAAAUUUGAAUAGAUUGGUUUGUAUAUGCAUUUUUCAUUAUCGAUGUUGAGCUUCAGAUUGCUAAAAUUUAAAUUCGGAUAUAUUGUUUUCUUAUUUGGGUCCUUUUGUUCAUUAUAAUCUUUGAAAUUAAAAGCAGCCUUGAUCUAUUAAUUUAUUGCAAGCCCGUAUGGCUGCUACUUGAAACUCAUUGCAAUUGCCUUCUACAAUGAUGCCAGUUGGUUAUUUAUUUUUUUUUUUGGGUCAUUUUGUUGUUUCUGUUUUAUUAAUAUGAAUUAUAUUCAUUUUGUUCAUCUUAUCUACUUUAUUUUUUCUGAUUAUAGCAAAAUGUUUAUUUUUUUAACGGCAACCACAACUCCAGCGGCAUGAACAUUUUCAGCAGCUGCUCCUUCAGCAAGAUAAUGAAUAUGGAGUUAAUAGGAAGUUUCAAAGUGAUUUCGCAAAAUAGCAUUUUAUUUGUAUUUUAAGAAUGAAGAAUGCAGAUGUUUGUUUUAUUUUCAUUCAUAUUCUGAUUACAAGCCUUUGGCUAUCAGUUGUAAGCUUGUGGAAUAUUGAAGGGGUAUCAAUUAUUUGGUCUUGAUUGUGCAUGAAUGGAUGUUUUAUACUUUUAUUUAAUUUCUCAGUUUAUAAAUUCUCUUCCUUAACCCUGUUUCACCCGGAUCAUGUGUGAAACUUUGUUAUUUAGAGCUAGGUAUUUAAGUAUGUCAUACUUGAAUUUUAAUGUUGGUUUUGUGAAGUAAUUGUCUCCUAAAUGAAUGCUUCUGGAUACAUGUGUUAAUAUCAAUUACCGUGCAUUCUUUUUGCAUUGCUCUCGAACUAUUAGUCUUUACCCCUUAGGUUCACCGUAUUCUUUCGAAUCAACGUGAAUUUAAACUGUUCUUUUAUUCUGGUACUCUCAAAAAUCAAUGGAAUAUUCGAACAUUAAACUUCGGCUGCAUCACCAAGCCUCUUCAGGAAACUGCUUAACACUUUCAAUGGUAGAUGCUCCGUAGCCAUAUGAGUCUUACUUUGUGUUCUUAGUUAGAAAGGAAUCAAAUGUUUUGAUAUUUUGCUUAGAACCACAGUGUUCUUUGCUGAGAACAAGUACAAAAUUUGAGAGAUAUUAAGUUGGAUUUUUCUUUUCUUAUUAAAAAUAAAUGAAUUUGUACUACGCCACUUUUUAUACCAUCUGUAGUUGUGAAGAUUAUGCUAUAACUAAUCUUCCAAUUGGCCUAACUAAUAGCAUAAAUUAAGCACUUUAUUAACUGUUUGGUUAUUAACUCUGUUAAUUUACCUUCUCCCAAACAACCUCCCUUUUUGUUUGUGAGAAUUAUGGAAAAUUCUGUUCUACCCAUAAGUAUGUAGGUUGAAGCUUCUUUACAUUCAAUGAUGGCUGCUCGAUAGCUAUAUUAACAGAUACAUUUAUUGUAAGAUAAGGUAGUGUAACUAAUUAUGUAACACCCUAAUUUCACCAACAAGGUACUAAAGUAAAAUUGAAGUGAAAUUACAUUUCACCUUUCUCAUUUAUAAGACAAUCAAAAUAAUAUCCAACAAUAAAUGUUCUAGCCUCUAAAAGAAAAUAAGUAAUGAAAUAACACAUCCUCAAAUAAAUAUAAUUCUAAAGGCAGCUAAAAUAUUCAUAAAUUAUUAACGUAACAUUAAUCCCUAAAAGAAACUGAGUUCUUAUUCUUCCUCCUAAGACCUAAAACCUUAAGUCAAAAAGCAAUGUCCUCCCCAAAGCUUGUUUCCAAAGACCCUUCGAACUAAUAAUCAUUACUGUCUAUGAAUGAAUGAUUGACAAGGGGUGAGCUGUUAUAUUCAAUAGGUAGAAACAUGCAUAAUAAAUAGAAUAGUCACUUUACUCAAUAUUUUUAGAAAUUCAAUUUAGCUUUAAAUACUGAACUGAUAUAUGAAUAUUUGAAUAGAAGCUUUGGUUAAUACUAGUUUUGCUUAAAACAAAUUUAGAUAAAACAGUUCGAACUGAAUUCAAAUCCAAAAACAUUUAUCAUGUCAAAAUAUAUUGGAAAACAUAUAUCAUAUUAUGAUAUUUCAUAUGGGAGACUCUUGUCAAAUAGCGUCACCUACACUUAUCGUCACCCGUAGGGUGCGCAAAAAAACUCGGGCCAGUCCAGCCUAAGCCUAGGACUUUAGGCCCAGUCCGCAUCAUGAGACCAUGACAAUUGGCCAAAAAUCUUAAAAGCUGUUGUGAAUGAGCCUAGUUAAUGGCUUAUGAAAAAAGCCUAAGCCUUUAUAAUUUAUAAAUCAAGAAAAU